GAUGAACGCUAGCGGCAGGCUUAAUACAUGCAAGUCGAGGGGCAGCAUGAUUGUAGCAAUACAAUUGAUGGCGGCCGGCAAACGGGUGCGGAACACGUACACAACCUUCCAACAAGUGGGGGAUAGCCCAGAGAAAUUUGGAUUAAUACCCCGUAACAUAGCGAUGUGGCAUCACAUUGCUAUUAUAGAUUUUUCGCUUGUUGAUGGGUGUGCGGCUGAUUAGAUAGUUGGCGGGGUAACGGCCCACCAAGUCUACGAUCAGUAGCUGAUGUGAGAGCAUGAUCAGCCACACGGGCACUGAGACACGGGCCCGACUCCUACGGGAGGCAGCAGUAAGGAAUAUUGGACAAUGGACGCAAGUCUAAUCCAGCCAUGCCGCGUGAAGGAUUAAGGUCCUCUGGAUUGUAAACUUCUUUUAUAAGGGACGAAAAAAGGCUUUUCUAAGUCGUCUGACGGUACCUUAUGAAUAAGCACCGGCUAACUCCGUGCCAGCCGCCGCCGUAAGAC
rnacentral:rRNA from 1 species